GUCCCUGUAGCGCAAGAGAUAGCACGUUGAACUUCUAAUCCAAAGGUCGUGGUUUCAAAUACCACUUGGGAUG
rnacentral:tRNA from 1 species